rnacentral:sRNA from 1 species
GGUCACAAUGGACGAUUGGUGGCUGACAGUGGUUGUGAAGAUAAUCCAGUGCAUCCAAGAUAUCAACAGCAAUGCUGAGUCUCUGCGGAAGGCUGAGUGUAUUGCUAGUGAGAUUGCUUGACUUGGGAUGAUUUCAGCCAUCCAAGCUACCAUUGGGCAUGAACUCAAACACCAGUGCCUUGAACUCUUGACCCUGUUGGUCAAUACUCGAACAACAAGUGAUGAUCUUUAUGAGACAACGAUGGCGUACUCUUCUCAAAGCCUCACAUUCAGCCUCAAAGCUCCUUGAAGAUCCUGACAUUUGAAGGUUGAACAUUUUCACAGCCGUGGUUACACUUGCACCCUCAUCUUCUAAAGCACAUCUAUUAACAGAACCAUAAUCUUCCUUUGCCAAGCAGGUUAGCCUCUGAGAAUUCAUUACUUCCUCUUGAUAAUGCAUGGUACGAAGCUCUGAUAUUGUUCAUCAAUAAUUAGGGAUGUCGCU